AUGCAGCUGGCCUCGUGGUAGACUGCACACGAUGCCAUUGUUGUACUAACAAGAGUUGACUAAGGGUUUUGUUAUAUUUGACCUGUGUGCUCUAAGGCCUGGUUUGGUUGGGCCGAUGAGACACAAACCAUCUCUCUUUGUUUACGGCUGAAGUAGUCUGUGUACCCGAACGCCCACUAAAGACCUCUCAACCCAUCUCUGCAUGUUUUUACACUGUAUAUUGAUGUAACCUAACAACUACAGUAAAAGCUGGUGCCACUAACAGCCCGAGCCUUCCUUUCCCUUCCCUUCUCAAUCCACAUUCUUUUCCCACUCAUCUCUAUAUGUCAAUGCCGUCCCCAUCCGAAAAACACCGGAGAUUUUCUUCCAUCGACAUCACGGCCGCAGCUGAGACACCAACAAGCCCGUCGUGCUCGUGGGGAAAAGCACCAAGGUGGGAGAGUUUUGUUCUCCGUAAAGGUAACCCUACGGCUCUUUUUCUAGAGGCAAGUGCUGAGCAAUUUUAUUUUUUCCCCCGUGCGAAUCUUCCUCUUUACCCCGUGGAGAAACUCGGCAGUGUAGCGUGCAAGGGAUUCCUCUGUCCUCUAUAAAUUGAAAAUGACGAAACUUAGGUCACCCACCACUACCAAUGCCUGUAUUCGUCGCACCUUCUCACCUAACUCGAGCAAUAAACACCGUUUUCAUUUCUUGGCCACCACAACUCUGAACAAGCAGUCCUUCAAGAUCAGACCGCCUGAGCCAAACCUUGAUGUUCAACAUGGAAGGAGCUUUGCUAAAUUCCUUAUCCUCAUUCCCAUUCAGCUUCAUGCUUGUGGCCUUUGAAGUAGGGAGCUUUUUAAGGACUCUGAUCUCUUUCUUCUAUAUUCUUUAAAUUGUUUGGUUAGUGUGGGGAUGGGAUUGAAGAUUAUGGUCAUGGUUUGUUUCCUUGGGAUCAAGAAGACAGCUUUAGGGUUGGAAAAAUUGUAUUCCCCAAGUUCUUUUUUUUUCUUUUUCUUUUUUUUUUCUUUCUUUUUUUUUUUUUUUUUUUUUUUUUUUUUUUUUUUUUGGUUGUUGAGAGAACGUUAGGUUGGAGAUCUUUGAGGUGCUGAGCAGAGGCGGGUAAAAAAAGUAGCUGUGACUAAGCUUCCUCGAGCUUGAGGGCUUCUUAAUGAAUCAUUUGAAGAUUGAUCUCGUUGUUGGGAGAGAGGUAAAGGUGUUCCAUAUAGACUAUGUUACUGGACUCAUGAAGGAGAAGAAAAAAGAUAAUAUUAUUGUUUUUGAGGAAAUCCUUGAAGAAGACAAAGUGCGUAGUGCUGAUAUAAUUGGCGUUACUAGCUUCCACAAAGUUGAUCAUGGUCACCAUUUGUCUCUCUCUCUCUCUCUCUCUCUCUCUCUCUCUCUCUCUCUCUCUCUCUCUCUCUCUCUCUCUCUCUCUCUCUCUCUCUCUCGAUUCUAUGCAUACUUCUUUAACAUUGUGCCAUUCUAUUAACAAUAUCAUCACCACACCUGAUCAAGACUUAAAGACAACUCAUCAAAGAAUAUUUCAGACAUGACAAACCAGAAUCAUCCAGAAUAAUUUCUGUUUCAUACGUAUCAUAUUUCUAUUGUAUUGAUGAAAUUUGUUAUCAAGAA